rnacentral:rRNA from 1 species
UACGUAGGGGGCUAGCGUUGUCCGGAUUUAUUGGGCGUAAAGAGCGUGUAGGCGGCCAGGUAGGUCUGGUGUGAAAACUCGAGGCUUAACCUCGAGAUGUCAUCGGAAACCAUCUGGCUAGAGUCCGGAAGAGGAGAGUGGAAUUCCUGGUGUAGCGGUGAAAUGCGCAGAUAUCAGGAAGAACACCAAUGGCGAAGGCAGCUCGCUGGGACGUUACUGACACUGAGGCGCGAAAGCGUGGGGAGCGAACAGG